rnacentral:tRNA from 1 species
CGGGAUGUAGCUCAGCCCGGUAGAGUGCUGGUCUGGGGGACCAGAAGUCGCAGGUUCAAAUCCUGUCAUCCCGA